UACGUAGGGUGCGAGCGUUAAUCGGAAUUACUGGGCGUAAAGCGUGCGCAGGCGGUUGUGUAAGACAGGUGUGAAAUCCCCGGGCUUAACCUGGGAACUGCGCUUGUGACUGCACGGCUAGAGUACGGCAGAGGGGGGUGGAAUUCCACGUGUAGCAGUGAAAUGCGUAGAUAUGUGGAGGAACACCAGAGGCGAAGGCGGAUCGCUGGGCCAACACUGACGCUGAGACGCGAAAGCUAGGGUAGCAAACGGGAUUAGAUA
rnacentral:rRNA from 1 species